rnacentral:rRNA from 1 species
AUUGAACGCUGGCGGCAUGCUUUACACAUGCAAGUCGAACGGUAACAGGCCGCAAGGUGCUGACGAGUGGCGAACGGGUGAGUAAUGCAUCGGAACGUGCCCAGUCGUGGGGGAUAACUACUCGAAAGAGUAGCUAAUACCGCAUCCGAUCUAUGGAUGAAAGCGGGGGACCGUAAGGCCUCGCGCGAUUGGAGCGGCCGAUGUCAGAUUAGGUAGUUGGUGGGGUAAAGGCUCACCAAGCCAACGAUCUGUAGCUGGUCUGAGAGGACGACCAGCCACACUGGGACUGAGACACGGCCCAGACUCCUACGGGAGGCAGCAGUGGGGAAUUUUGGACAAUGGGCGCAAGCCUGAUCCAGCAAUGCCGCGUGCAGGAAGAAGGCCUUCGGGUUGUAAACUGCUUUUUUACGGAACAAAACGGCUCUGGUUAAUACCCGGGGCUAAUGACGGUACCGUAAGAAUAAGCACCGGCUAACUACGUG